GUGAACGCUGGCGGUAGGCCUAACACAUGCAAGUCGAACGGCAGCACAGUAAGAGCUUGCUCUUACGGGUGGCGAGUGGCGGACGGGUGAGGAAUACAUCGGAAUCUACUUUUUCGUGGGGGAUAACGUAGGGAAACUCACGCUAAUACCGCAUACGACCUACGGGUGAAAGCAGGGGAUCUUCGGACCUUGCGCGAUUGAAUGAGCCGAUGUCGGAUUAGCUAGUUGGCGGGGUAAAGGCCCACCAAGGCGACGAUCCGUAGCUGGUCUGAGAGGAUGAUCAGCCACACUGGAACUGAGACACGGUCCAGACUCCUACGGGAGGCAGCAGUGGGGAAUAUUGGACAAUGGGCGCAAGCCUGAUCCAGCCAUACCGCGUGGGUGAAGAAGGCCUUCGGGUUGUAAAGCCCUUUUGUUGGGAAAGAAAAGCAGCAGGUUAAUACCCCGCUGUUCUGACGGUACCCAAAGAAUAAGCACCGGCUAACUUCGUG
rnacentral:rRNA from 1 species